GUCUGAGACCCUGGGGUUGAGGGGUGGCAGGGCCUGAGCCGAGAGCACAGCCCGUCCAACCGCCACUGGGGUUUCCUGACCCAGAGCAGAGAAAACUGUGGCCCUCGGCCUCGGCCCCUGGGCCCCCUCUCCUCCGAGCUUGCUCUGCCUGGCUCCCUCCGCACUAACAACCAUCUCCUUGCUAAGGGAACGGGCAGCCUGGGGUGGUAGGUACAAGUGGCUGGCACCAUCCCGCUGCCCCAGAGGGCCAGAGGCAGAAGGAGGGGCCGCAGCCAGGAGGAUCCCGAAAAUGUGCAGGGCAGCUGGUCUCUAAAACAUCCCCUUCAGCUGAAUAAAGUCCAUGUCCAGCCCAUGACUAGGGCCCGAGGUGAGCUGGACCCACCUGCUCUCCACUGCCACCUCCACCCUGGCACUCUGGGUCACCCUGCUCCCCACACUGACCUUCCUCCAGUUCCUCAGGGUUGGGAGGCUCGGCUCCCUAAUUUGGAAAGACUUUCCUCCAAAUUUCUGUGCUCUCUACACCUGAGCUGCCCGGGACGGUAGCCACCACCACCUGCGACCAUGCCCCUCCACAUCCUUUAGAAUUAAACGCUCAGCCCCUCAGGCGUACUGGGCACUAGCCACGUGUGGCUGGUGGCUCCCAGGCUGGACACGCAGGUGUGGGCCUGCCCACGGGGGCAUUGGGCUCCAGUGGACAGUGAUGCCUAGAGCCACACCUUCAGGGAGUGUCCCCGUACCCUGCCCUCCCACACUUGUCCUUGCAAAUUCUGAUCACCAUCCAGCGAUGAUCUCUGAUCGUGAUCAGCUCUGUCUCCCCAACAGCUCACCCUCCAGUGGGGUAGGAGCCCCAACCUGUUGUGAGCACCGCUGUGGCCCUGAGCCCCGAGCCCAGCAGCAGCCUGGCCAACAGUUUUUGGGACGAAUGAAUGAAUGAAUGAGAAAGAAUGUGAUGAAUGAAUGAAUGAGGAAGAAAGUGAUGAAUCGGUGAAUGAAUGAAUGAGAAAGACCUGAAUGUCUGAAUGAGGAAGAACGUGGUGAAUGGAUGAGGGAAUGAACGAAUGAGGAAGAAGUGAUGCGUGAAUGAAUGCGGAAGCAGGGUGCUCCGGGCAGCACUGAACUCCCCACCCAGUUCCUGACCGUGGGCUAUUCCCAUGGAUGGUGUUUCUGCACCCUAAAAGGGAGGAGCUAGCUCAAGGGCGGGGUUUGAGGGGUCCCAAAACAGGAGGAGGCAGGUGCCCUUGGGAGGGAUACUGCCCCGGAGCAGUCACUACAAAUGAGCCAAGCAAUUCGCUUCCAGGAGUCCGUGGGCUCAGUCCUCUGGGCCUCCUAUGGGGACAGUGAAUAUUUUUUUUUUCUUUCCUGAGGGAUUCUGCCAAGAGCGAGCAGCGAGUGGCCGGCCAGGACUCCCGUCAUCCCCUGGACAUGGCUUGGGAAGGCUGAGCUAGGCUCUGGGCACUGGCAGCCUCAGGGCACCUCCCAGCAUCCUGAGUCUGCACACUCAGCUCCACGCAGACACUCAGGGACCCAGGGCGGUGGGGAGCCUCCAUGUUCAUAUGCCGUCUGUUCACGGUGUCGAGAAAGACACUGGGCCAUUCACCGCCUCUGCCUGGAAGUGACAUGUGUCACUUCUGCUCACAUUUCACUGUCCCAUGGCCUCACCAACCUGCAAGGAACCAGGAAAAGCAGGAGAGCAGUGGACCUGUCUGUUGCAAACCUGGCCGCCCCACCUGCGUGAGCCUGGCUCACAGUCAUCGACUCAGGACCCGAUGCUCCGAGGUGGUGGGUAUGCGCGGGGCUGGUGUCUUCCGCUCAGGAGCUUCAAACGCGAAGCGUUUGAUCUAAGUCAUCAGGAUGGAGCUACAGCUGCCCCCUGGUCCCUGGGCUGAAGGGGACACACACGGAAAGGAACGCGAGCUGGGAGGCGCUGGCCGCCUGGCCCUGGAGUCCGAGGCCUGCUGGGGUGGAGCCCUGCCCACUCCGGGCAUCCGUGCCAAAGACAUGCCUGGAGCUUUCCAAAAGGGAAUUCGACCUAAAAAUGGAAACCAGCCUCCUUCUGCCCCACGCCCCCGCCUGCCUGCCCAGACUCCCAGGAGAGGGGCCGCCGGAAAAUCAGUCGGCGGGGGCUUGGACACCCACGCUGCGCUUGCGGUUCUCACAGCGGCCAGGAGAGAAUCGCUUUGAAUCGACGUGAGCUGCCUUGCGCCGGAAGUUACGCGUUCCCCAGGGAGGAUCGCGGACAAGGAUCGACUGUAGAGGCUUUGCUGACGAAUCCUUCGCUGAGGAGCUCCCUGCAGCCACGUCCCCACGUCAAAGGACCUGACUCAGGGAAGACGCACCAGCAGUUUCAGGAACCAUGGAAACCCCGAGGAGCCUGAAAGCCUUAAAUGACAGGUGCUCAGAAAGCACUUAGUGUCGUGCCUGCCCAGGCAAGCCCUCGGGGAAGACGGCCACUGAUGAGGACAAUGAUGAUGAUAAGGAAGAAAUUUGGUUCCACCACUUCAGACUCCAGCCUCUCACCAGUCUUUCUAACAAUCACAUAUUUUCCAGAUUCUCUACAGUGAGCACAUAUUCCCUCCAUAAUCUGAAAAAGAACAAGGAUUCCAGCACUCGUCCUCUCAUUCCUAAAGCCAAGGGAGAGAAACUCUGAUGCACCUAGAGGCUGGCCUGUCCUGGCCCUUGGGGUGGAACAGAGGAGCCUCUUUCUUCUCUGGCUCGGGCUGGCGGCUGCCGUGACAUCAUCCCUGCGGCGUGUAAUUCGAGAAGCAUGUUAGGAAGUGUUGGCUGAUUGACCAAGCGUGCUGGUGUCCUCUCCCAGGAGGCCAACAGGCCCAUUCUAACGGGCAGCUGGUUGUGUCUCUCACCGGCGAUUAGGGCUGGGAGCCGCAUCUUCACUCCAUGGGGCAGACCCGGGCGGGAAGAGUGUGGAAGGGAUCAAGUUUCAGAGGAGAACACCAGGUCGGCAUCAGGGCACAUACGAGGGUCCCUUACCAGGGUGCCCCCAGCCCCUCCUCUCCUUUCCAGCCCUUGCUGCCUGCCCUACUCAGCUCCCUGGGUGGGCUGCAGUUGCUGCCUCGUCUCCACACAGAAGACAGAUGGUGGAGAAGGCUUGGGGGGCUGUCCAGGGCAUCCGUGGGAGCCGCAGCUGGACGGCUGGGCCGGGAGGUAGACAGGGUCCAGGAUGCUUGACCAACACCACAGACUGGUGAGCAGCAGUUUUGUGUCUGUUGUUUCCUGUCUGAGGCCGUAUCAUGAGCAGGUACAUUUGAGAGGCCGGGGCGUCCUGGGCUCCGUAGACAGAGCUCCUCGAAACCUCAGUGCUGAGGCUGCUGGACGGGGAAACUCUGUCUACCCUAAAGGAUGGUGGGAACCACAGGAGCGCUCAAACUGCAUGCCUGGACCCAGGAAAUGAGCGGCCAGUGGUCCUGCCUGGUCACCUGGGGCAGGAGUCAAAGCCCCGGUCUUGGGUGGGUCAGGGAUCACAGGAGUACCCCAUCCUUGGCCGCUGGACCCCGUAGGAAGACUGUGCUGGGAUGCCCUCCUCCCCAUCCUGUGGGCGAGGCGUGUGCUUAUCUUCUGCCUGGGAAGGGGCGCCUCGUGACAUGGGAGGGGCCUCUCCCGAUGACCCCUCUUCCUCUUAUUAGGCGAGCACUCAAGUUGUGGGUCUCCCAGCUGGAACGUCCCUGGACAUUUUCUGGGGAGACCCCACAUGUCUGGAUGACACUUGGCAAAAGCGUCCUUUGUUGUCUCGGAAGUGCUGGGACGCUGCGUGGGGACACCUGGAUCUGGCGAGGGCCCCUGGCUGCCCGGAGCCCGUGCCUUCAUCACCUCGGCAUCUAGAGGAGCCCGGCCAGCUGAGCCCAGGAGUCGACCUCUGCUGUCCCGCGUCAUCUUUGGACCCCCAC
rnacentral:lncRNA from 1 species